UACUAAUAAAAGAAGCUUAUUGAGACUUUUUAAGCCAUCCACAUCAGCAAUUUAAAAAGACAUUCUCAACACGCCACGUCAGCUUAGUCUCCUUAAAAUUUUAAAUCUCUACAAAGUUGCCAUGUCAUCAAACUCAAGCAACUAAAAUUGAAAAUGAAUAAUUGGGGUUUAGGGUUUCCCAACGAUGUCGCUAUAGAUUCUUUACGUUUUCAGUUUCGUCUCUACAGAUACAAAGGAAAAGCCAAUCGAGCGAUAAUAUAUAUAAAGCACGAAACCGUGAUGAAACGCCAAGAAAGCACACAGUGGCAAGAUUUUCGAUACGUAGACCUAUAUAUGGGUUGAAUCAAUUUCAAAAACAUCAUUCGGAAUCAACUAUUGCCAGAUUCAGCAAACUUUGCAAGCUUCGGCUUAUAUAUCGUCCGCCUUCCAUAAAAGAACCUCUGCUUUUUCUGCACAAUGAAACAGUAAUGGGAGAGAACGAGGAGCCAUCAUCCCAACCAUUAAAGCCAGCCAGCUUCAGGUCACGAACUGGAUAUUGGUCGAAACCAAAGUUAAUCACCAGUUUCAUAUUCUUGGUUUCCAUGGUGAGCGAUAUUAACCACUAAACAUGUUAUAUAUAAGCAUAGUUUUAAUGGUUGCCAACAAAUAAUGCUUCGAAGGCAACUUGACUAUCCAGAUUUAAUAUUUUGUCGUUUUCUCUUUACUAAAAUCGAUUUGAUGCUGCAAGAAUUACAUUGUGUAGCCAGAUUUUGGAACAUGAAUGAGUUACUAAGGUUUGCCAUCUGUGAAUGAUGUGGAUUAUAAAUUGGGCACGAUGAAUAACCAGAUAAAAAGGAGCAUCGAUCUAGGUGGUAUUGUUUACCCACUCCUCCGUAGCUUAAUGCCACUUUUGAUUCAUGAUAGUGGCUUAUGUAGGUUUUUUUAAUAAUAGUGUGGGAUCUGAUA